AUUUUGGAUAUUUGAUAAAAUCGUUUGAUCGAUUCCGAAAAUGGAUGAGUAGUAUAGUCGGGUGGGUUUAUAUUUAACUUUGGCCCUAUAAUGUCUUCGUUCAAUCUUUUAAAUAAACAAAUGAAAGAUUUGCAUAAUCCGAAUUCAUUGUAGUCCUCAAAAAGGUUUAACAUUUUAUUUUCUGAAGAUUCUUUAAAAAACUUUUCACAAAUUCUGAAAUGAUAACUCAAUUGUUCUAAUUCGUUCCGCUCAAUGAAUCCAAAAGCUGGAGAACUUUCAAGCACCCUUGCUAGUAUCACCUUAAUACUUGGUAAACAGGAAGUUAAGUAAGACGUUGGAGCACGCUCUGAUUCAACUUCUUUAGCACAAGCAAGCGUUUGAUGAAAUAACCAAGAAGAAAAUCGGUAAUAGAAACUUCUCAGACGAUCGUUACAGUUGAAAUAACGACAGUGUAAAAGAUUUGAAAAGGCAGAUGAUAUGUAGUAAAGAUUUUUUUUUUCAUAUCCUACAUUUCUGAUGUUCGACUGUAAUAAUGAAUUCUCCAAAUCCUUGACCAUGAUUGAGGGACAUUUAAAAGGCUGAAUUUCUUUUAACGAAUGUAUGCAACAGUCGGAUAUAAUAAAAAGUAAAAUCAUCAUGGGUGAUACAAAUUCAAAAUGGACAGCGAAACAGCGUCUGUAAAAUGCAAUCAACUGUUUAAGCAAAUUUAACAAAGCACUCUUGGGCGGGUCUUCAGAACAUAAAGCCGAUGAAAACCAAUAAAUAGACUCCACUAUACAUUCAUCGGAUGCCCAGACAACAGCAAUUUGAUUCCUAUGCAUUCCGUUUCCGGGUAAUGUUCGAUGAGCCAAAUCAUAAAACCCUAAAGCUCUAUCAUAUGCGCCGCGUUUUUUGAGGCAAGUAGAAGAAUAUCUGGCCAUAUCCCCUAAAUAUAUAAAACAAUUAUACACGCAUUCUAAUGCCUCCAUAUGGUUCCUUGAAUACGAAGCUUCAGGAAUUGAUGACAUUUCAUCGUUUGAAAUAGUCGAAGAAACAGUAGCUGAUGAUGUCCAUUUACAAAAAAACGGUCUGUAUGAAUCCAAUUGGAACUUAGAUAUUAGUUCACUUAUGCAAGUCUGGUAAAAGAUUGCACACGUUUUCAAGAAUUUAAAGAAAACCUUUUUUGUCUUUUUUUUUUCAACAACGUGUCGAGGAUGUAUCUUAAAAUUAAUAAUUGUCCCAUACUUUAGUUUUUACUCACCUCUCUAAACCUACUUCUAAAAUGUUGAAUAAUUUUAUAAUGGCAACAUGACCAUAUAAUAUCUGGACGUUCAAAAGUAUUUGUUUGAAUACUUUUUAGACGAUUUAACAGUUUCUUCUCAACUUCAAUUUCAAUUGCUAUAAUUUUCUCAUAUAAAUCAUGCUUAAAACCUCCUUGAGCUGCUUCACACAGCGCUUUGACGAGCUUUCCCUGCUCUUCACAAAUUUCAUUACUUGAAAGUUGUUGCGACAUUAAUUAUAAUAUCGUCACAUUUUAAGAAAAAUAUAAAAAAUUAUCAAAAACGUAUUUCUGCAGCGUUGAGCGUGGAAAUUAGACCACUUAAGUCACUUGACUUCUUCCUACUUGAUAUCUUAUGCAAAAACCCUAAGCGUAAUGACAAUUCAGUAUUAGAGAAAGAAAAAUAUGGUUCUAUCAAAUAAAAUAGUAGGGAAAAAAAAUAUAUAUAUGUAUAUAUAUAAUAUUUACAUGUACGACAAAUGAUUGAAAACAACUUAUGUGCUGUGCUCGGAGCAACCCUGUACUCAACAAUUACAAAAAUAUCAUUGUUUUGUUUAAUAUUCCGUAUCCUUAACUAAAUGCUAGCAAUAAAGAGCUGAAUUAGUUGCCAUUUAGGCGUUUUUCAAGCGAAAAGCAAUAAUUUAUAAGGUGCGCGCUUUAAGGUUCAUCCUCAGAUUCAUGUCCAUGCUCGAAAAGGUAAUUAGCAGCAAGCUACAAUUGUUAGUUGAUAAUUCAAUAAAUCAAAAAAAAAAAAAAAACACACCUCUUCAUUUUUAUCACAAGCUAAAUAAGCCUGAAUUACAAUGUUUCUGUCGAAGCCAAGUUGACAUAACUAAAAGCUUGUUAGAUAGUUAAAACAAAAAAAUAGAAAUAACAUACUCUAUCAAUACUCUCAGAUUCUUCUUGAGUAAUUUGAAUCUGAAUUCCACCAGAAGGUAAGGCAGACUCGCCUUCGGCACCCUCCGCCAAUAAUUGCAAAAAUGCUUCAGGAUUUUGCGUAAUAGCUUGAGCCAAUGCAGGAUCUCCCUGCCCAAUUUGUUGCAAUAUAGUUUCCAACAUCUGUGGAUUUUGUUGAACAAUUUGUCUUAGCUGUUGAAAUUGAGGAAUGCUACGAAGGAAGCCUAGAGGGUCAUCACCAACGGUAUUAGAAGGUUGUUCUUGAUUUUCAUUUUCUGAUAAAGCAGCUUGUUCAAAAAGAUUCGCUGGCUGGCCAGUGGAAGUAGGAGCAAGGGCUUCGCUUUGCUGUUGCUGAGCAGCAAGGGCUGCAGCACUCUCUUCUCUCUGUCGAUUGAGAAUGUCUUCGGGAAUACCAGUUAAUAAGUAUUCCACUGCCCGAUCAGGGUUGUUAAAAGCGGCACGCAUGGCUCUUUCAACUUCGCUGCGUUCGUAUCCCAUUUCUACCAUAUUUUCGACAGCAACAUUUCGUUGAGCACCAACUGCCAAUGUGUUGGCGUCUAUUGGUGCUUCACUAGUGGCAGUAGUAUCUGGGUUUGAAGGGGCAGCAGCAGCAACAGUUUGUGUAGUAGAGGUAGAUUCCGCCACGGUAGAAGAAGGAGCUUCAACUUUCUUUUCAGGUACGGAAGCCGGAGGAUUGGGGGCAGGACUGGCAGCUGAUUUCGGAGUAGAGGUGGAAGUUUUGGGUCGUGAAACCAUGCAUACAAUGAAAUCCUGUUCUUUUAUAUUGUAUUCGCCAACAGUUUUGUCAUCAGCAAGGAUUCGACCUAUAAAUUAGUAUUUUACAUAUUAAAAUUAUGUUAUAUACCUGAGUAAAUUAACUUUUGACGUUCGACUUCAUAAUUCUGUUGCGUUUGAAUUUUUUCUUUUAAUUCUGAAAUCUGU
rnacentral:lncRNA from 1 species